rnacentral:tRNA from 1 species
GUCGGGGUAGCUCAGCGGUUAGAGCGAGCGUCUCAUACGCGUUAGGUCGUGAGUUCGAAUCUCACCCCCGACACAA